CUCGGAGUUUGAUCCUGGCUCAGAUUGAACGCUGGCGGAAUGCUUUACACAUGCAAGUCGAACGGUAGAGGGGGCAACCCCUCGAGAGUGGCGAACGGGUGAGUAAUAUAUCGGAACGUGCCCAGUCGUGGGGGAUAACGUAGUGAAAACUUACGCUAAGUACCGCAUACGAUCUAAGGAUAGAAAGCGGGGUAUCGCGAAGACCUCGCGCGAUUGGAGCGGCCGAUAUCAGA
rnacentral:rRNA from 1 species